GGCCGCCUGGUGUAGUUGGUUAUCACGCAUCCUUCACACGGUUUAAACAUCGUUUGAGCGGCGGAUGAGGUCAUGAGUUCGAACCUCAUGGUGGUCA